rnacentral:sRNA from 1 species
AGCGUUAACCGGCGGGGCGGCCGGUUUUAUGAAUGAAGCUAUGGCUACAGAUUCCCCAAGAAGACCCAGUCGUUGUACUGGUGGAGUUGUGGUUCGCCCCCAGGCUGUCACAGAGCAGUCCUACAUGGAAAGUGUUGUGACUUUUCUGCAGGAUGUUGUGCCACAGGCUUACAGUGGAACACCUCUAACAGAAGAAAAGGAGAAAAUAGUCUGGGUCAGAUUUGAAAAUGCAGAUCUAAAUGAUACAUCAAGAAAUCUGGAAUUUCAUGAAAUACAUAGUACUGGGAAUGAACCGCCUUUGUUGAUUAUGAUUGGCUACAGUGAUGGAAUGCAGGUCUGGAGCGUCCCUAUCAGUGGCGAAGCACAAGAGCUCUUCUCUGUUCGACAUGGCCCAAUUCGAGCGGCUAGAAUCUUGCCUGCUCCACAGUUUGGUGCUCAAAAAUGUGAUAACUUUGCUGAAAAAAGACCCCUCCUUGGUGUUUGUAAGAGCAUUGGAUCUUCUGGAGUCUCCUUCUGUCACCCAGGCUGGAGUACUGUGGUGCAAUCUCGGCUCACUGCAACCUCUGCCU